CAGUAGCCACGGGAACACGAAGGGGGCUAGCGUUGUUCGGAAUUACUGGGCGUAAAGCGCACGCAGGCGGCUCGAUAAAUUAGAAGUGAAAGCCUUGGGCUUAACCUGAGAAUUGCUUUUAAGACUGUCGAGCUAGAAUCCAGAAGAGGGUAGUGGAAUUCCGAGUGUAGGGGUGAAAUUCGUAGAUAUUCGGAAGAACACCAGUGGCGAAGGCGACUACCUGGUCUGGCAUUGACGCUCAUGUGCGAAAGCGUGGGGAGCAAACAGGAUUAGAUACCCCCGUAGUCCCUGUCUCUUAUAC
rnacentral:rRNA from 1 species